CAAUUCCUCUAUAUAAUCAUCGCCUUAUAUUGAAUACCUCGCAUAUCUUACACUGAUAUAAUUCUAAAUUAUUACUUGUUAACACAACAAACAUUAACCAAUCAGCGUUUCUGUAAAUAAGUAUUGACACUUUAAUUAUACUUCACAUGAAUAAUUUUAAAAUACAAGACAUGUCUCUUGCCUUUUUCUUCAUGUUUUUUUUUUUUUUUAUGAAAUAAACAAUAUGAUAUAUGAAUAAAAAAUUUCUAAUAGCUAUAAAAAUAAACUAGAGUUAUAAGCACGUGGUUCAAGAUCUAAUAUUUUUAAAUUUAGUGAUUUUUAUCAGAUUCAUGUUUUGUAACUUUAUUUAAUUAUUAAAUUACGUAGCAUAUUCAACAGUAGAUAUGUUGGUAUCAUAUUAUGAACUUAAUUGUUAAUGGCUGAUAUGUGCAGUUCUAACAUUUUCGUGUAAUCAAAGUCAAAUAAUAAAUCAGACAUUAUUAAGUGUAAUGUUGACAGUGGCGUUUGUUGGAGUACGAAAUUUUGCGUUUACAUCGAAUAACUGUUAAAUGUAUAUUUACAAUGUUAAAAUACAAUAUAUAUAAUAAUGGAAAUUAUUUAAAAAAUAAAAUGAUGCAUCUUUUACUAACUUAGAACGAAAUAUGUACUUUCAAUAUCGAUCUGUUAUAACAAUAAGCCGGAUAAAAUUAACAUUUAUAGAAAUAUAAAAUGGAAAAAUGGCAGAUAUUUUAACUCCAUUUGUAUAUUGGGCUCAAACAGAGCAACAAAUUACAUUAAAGGUAGACUUGACUGAUACUUGGCGUGUUAAAGUUUACAUGAAUGAGAACAAAUUAAAGGUUACUGUUUAUGGACAAGGUGCUAGAGGUCUUAAUGAGUAUGGAUUUAGCUUGGAUUUACAUUCAUCUAUUAAUGUUGAGGAAAGUAAUUACAAAGUAACAGCUCGACAAGUUGAUUUUACAUUGGGUAAAAAGUGUCCUGCUUGGUGGCCAAGAUUAACUAGUCAACCACAAAAGCCAUCAUGGCUGAAAAUCGAUUUUGACAAAUGGACAAGCGAAGAUUUAGACGAUAACGAAGAUGAAAGACGAGAUGUAUGCAGUGAUUAUCCCGACAUGUACGAUAAACUUCAUGAAGAAGAGUUUGGUUAUAGAAAAGAAGAUUUCAAAAAAGUGUAUCUAAUUAUUUAUAACCUUUGUCAAUUUGUUGGUUUUAUCUAUAUUCUAACUGUAAUGGGAAUUAUGUAUUCACGAGAUGGACCAGCAUCUAUGAAAGAAACUUACAUAGCUGUUGGGAAUGCAAUGAAAUUUAUACAACUUAUACAAUUUUUAGAAGUUAUGCAUUCAUUAUUUGGUUACACUAAAAGUAGUACAUUUGUAACAUUUGUACAAGUGGGAGGCAGAGCAUUUAUUUUAUUUAUUAUGAUUGAGGCUGAACCACGUAUGCAAACGAAACCAGUUGUCUUUUAUCUCUUCCUUGUAUGGAGUGCAGUAGAAGUAUUUAGGAUGAGUGUGCUAGUUCAAUAUGUGGUGGUACGAAGAGAUCUUCUGGAGACAAUGAAGUGGCCCAUUGGCGCAGUUAUAGCUCAAGCAUGCCAUGCGUGUACCGCUGUUACUCAUCUUUUUUAUAAUGACAAUUACACACAAGCCUACCUUGCCAAUUUAGAUGCUAUGCACAAAGUUGUCUUGGAAGAAAGCAAAAUAACCGUAAGCAUUGAUACGAAGCUUUAAGCAAGACUAUUGCCACGGAUUUCUACUUAAUUAACAUACAGGAGCGUGGUGUUUUGCCGAUUAUGCAUGCAUACAACGUUAGUAUAACUACGGGACUUGCAAUUACCAGGACCACGUUAGUUUGGGAGAGCAAGGACCUUCGACAGCUGGUAUCGAGGUGCUAGUGAUGUCCUGCUAAGCAUAUACGAGAAUCCAAGCGUUCGUUCUACCUACUUUAAAUUCCUUACAAUUCCCUUUCCGACCAUUCGUUUCCAUUUCACUCGUUACAGCUUUCUUCUCUUCGCAUUAUUCUUCUCGAUACAAAGGUUUUUUUAAAGAAUAGGAACGACCUUAUCGACUAAAUCGCUACUAUACAAUGAUUACUGACAGGAUCGCCCUUUGCACCAUCGUGUCCUCGGUCGCCUUUUAUGCCAGGUGGACCUUGAAGCCCAGGAGUACCAGCUGGACCAGGUGGUCCCGGUGGUCCCAUUAUCUGUAAACACGAUUAAUUAUCUAAUUUCACGAACGGAGUUCAGAGCCUAAGCUUCACUUGCAUGAUUUACUUACUGGCAAUCCUGGAGGACCCUGAAUACCAGUUUCCCCAUCUGUUCCGUUGAGUCCAGGCAGACCAGGUAGUCCUUGUUCUCCCUUUGGUCC